UUUGUUUCCAGAUGAAACUCUCCGGUUCACUCUCUCAGAACUGCGAACCACAACAUCCUCCUCCGUUCGACGGCAUCUCCUCCCUUCUCCUCCGUUGGACAACUUCUCCCCCUCCAGGCUCCUCCCUCAUUCCUUCUCCUCCGCUCCUUCUCCUGGGUAUUUUUUGAUCUCUAUAUUUCCUCAGAUCCCUCUUGCCUUUACCAAUUAUCGCCUAACGAGUUGACCAUGUGUUUUCAAUUUUGCAACCAAACCCAUGUCUGAAAAGAAAAGAGCUGCAGAUUACGGUGGCUCAAUUAUCUCCUCCCCGAUGUCCGUCGUGCCAACAUCACCUUUGAAGAACAGGUUCUGAAUCUUGAGCUUCACCCUCGCUGGGGUAACAGGAUGAUUUGGAGUCAGAAAAAAAAAUCCCUAAUUUUCUCUGCUUCUUGAGAUCGACGUGGCUUCCUCGAGGAUUUUCACUGAGAUUUCUCGCUUCAAAUCGCAAUGCAUUGAUGGAUACUCUAUAAAAAAGGAGCAAUUUUGGAUGAUGAGAACAGAGGAGUUGCCACAAUGCUUGAGGUCCCCAACCCCAAGAUUGGAGCUGCUUCAACUUGAAAAGGGUUAAAGUAGCUGUAGCACCUUAGAAUUUUAGAGGUGAUCCGAUCGGAGGUCGUUUGCAGAUAAUGAUUCUCAAUUUCUCAAGUACACCAGUAAAGGCUCUUUAUCUUCAUUUCUCAUUGACAUUUGUUUUUCCUUGAUAACAUAGUUGACAGUUCUUUUAGCCUGUUAUUAUAUAAUUACUGUUAACAAUGACUUUAGAGAGAGAGAGAGAGAGAAAGAAAGAGAGAGAGAGGGAUGGAUAUACCAAAUGAUGCAUGUUGAAGGAGUACUCGAACAACAUUAUUGGAAUUGUAUAACAAUACUUGCCAUUAAUUUGUAAGGAAUCAGUUGACAGUGUGGGGUUCAUAGCUU